AUUACAACAUAGAUGAGCUAUGGGCAGCUUGCUCUGGGCAAGCCAGCCCUGAAAGAUACUGCUGAAGAACUCAUGAAAUGUAGACUACGAAGAUUAAGAUCUCCACACUCCGCUCAAAAUAAAGCAUCUUUUAAGGAAGCAGCCAGAGUGGUGACAAGGUCAGGUGAAAAGAGCAGCUAAAGACUGAGCUCACCUGGGAAAUCUCCUUCACUGCUGGUUCGGGAGUGUGGUGUCAGCAUCACGGAGUGGAAAGGACUACGUGUCAGAAGAGGCUGUAGGGGAGGUACACCAUCUCUUCUACCCCUCAGGUUCUGUGACCAAGGCCCUGGGAAUUAAACUGCCAAAGGACAGAUGAACAGAGUUAAAAGAUUUAUCUCACAUGCAUAUGGAGGGCCUCCUAGACAUGAAAUGAGACCCCCAAGACACGGUCAGACCCAAAGGACAAUAAAUACGUAGAGAAGUGACAAGACCGUUUAAAGAAAAAAGGCUCUUGAGCUUCUGGGGUUGGGCUCUUCAAGGAGUAUGGUCUUACUGGAACACUUUCAUGUCGAUUGCUCAGGCUGCAAUCCUCUAGCCCCUGGCUCCUCUACGGGGAGGGGGGAAAGCCUGCCUUUUGACUGGAAGCUGUACCUUGGCCCGAAUGGUAAUAAGACCCAGAAACUUGAUGCCCUCUCUUUAUUCGUACUCUUAUACAAAGCUGUCUUUCUUGGGCACAGGACAGCCACUUAAGUCACUAAGAUGGUUGCUAAUCUUAAGACUCCCACAGGAGGUUACCUUCUUAUUGGUCUAAUGUGAUCCCCUCCACAUCUCUGGUGUAGCCGCUUCUGGCCACAGGACCUCUGCCUGGAGCCACCGAAACCAGUAACUGAUAGAAUUAAAACCCAGCCAGGGACCAUUUCCUGGGGAAGUCAGCUAUUAUGGCCACAUGUGCUGGAAUAUCACUUAGACCAUGAUGGAGUUCCAUCUUUAUUCUUCUUCUUCAGUGUGCCCUACUGACUACUUAAAUUGUAACAUUAGGUAUUUCCCCAUGCAGAUUCUUAACAUUCUUCAUGGGUUAACCAUGGGUUAAGAUGGCAGCACUCUUGGUCCACCUACCAGCACCUAUUAUAUCCUGGGAAAAACAAUAGGGAAGCAAAGGGAUGUUGACAUCCCUUCAGUAAACAAGUUGGUAUUCAUAAUAGCCUUUUGAAGGAUGCCUCUGGUUGCUUCGAACACUAGGAACCUUGACAUUAUCUUGAAUAAGAUGCCACCAAGCCGUCCAGGGGGGAUUAUGGUAACGGACUUCUCCACUUUUCUGGUAAUGAGAUCUUCCUCUUGAGGGAAUCUUCCUCCCUUGGGGUAUCUCUUAAUCAAUUGGAACCAAUUUGGAUUGUAAGAUAAAGAAAAAAAGACUCAUCUUCUUCUGCAAUAAUGCAUGGCCUCGGUAUUCCUUAGGAGAUAAGGAAAAAAUAGCCCAUUAAUGGGACAAAAACUUCAGUACUAUAUACCAGUUAGAUCUCUUCUGCAGGAAACAAGGAAAAAGCAUUGAAGUGCCCUGUGUUCAGGCCUUCAUGGCCUUAAAUCAAUAUCCUGAUGUAAGGGCUUCUUACAGAAUGUGUUUAGCCACUAACCAGGCUGAUAAACCCCCUCUCAGCAUAUUGGAUGUUGAUUGUCUAAACAGGCCCCCUCCUCUUAACAAACUUGAGCUACUGGAGGAAUCACCAGCCAGUGCAAAAACACUGGAUCUGUUACUAUCCCUCCUCUUUACAAGCCCCAAGUCCCUUCUGUUCCCAGCCUAUCUGGACCUACCAGGAGAGGAACCCCUGUCUCCCAGGAGCUCCUUCUAAAUCUGGACUAUAUCCCCUUAGGGAGGUUGCUAAUGGAGAAAUGAGCAUUAUUAGAGUCCAUGUCCUGUUCUCCAUGGCAGACUAGCCUCAAGUAAGACAAUUAGGACAAUGUUCUGAAAACCCUUCUCAAUUUAUUGAAGGUUCUCAGCAAUUAUGUUAUGUUUGAUUUGAACUCACUGUUGCACCCUUGAGGAAGAAAAACAUAUCUGGGUGGGGGCUCAAGAAUUUGUUGAUGAACUACCAGUCAGAGAUAGAGGGGUAGGGGGGUAGAGGGUGUUGUUAUCCCAAAUACCCAACCACACUGAAAUUAUCAAGAGGGUAGCUAGCCAAAGAAAGGAAAGAGGAGACCAUAUGAUCACUUGUUGAAUAGAAGGAAUGAAAAAAAAAAAGUAUUUUCAAAAUCUGUAAGCUUUAUUAAAAUUCAGGAAAUCAUUCAAGUUGCUGAUGAAAAUCUAGCUCUAUUUCAAGGUUGUUUGAUAGAAGCCAUCCAUAAAAUAUACAAAUCUGGCCCCAACCUCACCUGAGGGAACAAUUACAUCACGCACACAUAUUCUAAGUCCGUGGGAGCCUGACAGCCACCGACAAUGAACUAAAAUGACUUUAGGUCCUCAAACCCCACCCGGCACCUACCAAAGGCCACUGCUGGAGUUUUUAAUAAUAGAGAGAAGGUUUUAAGACAGGAAAAGGACCGGAGAGCUAAAGUGCAGGGUAAAAUACAGGCUCAAACAUUGGCUGCCGCCAUCGCGGAUUCCCCACAACACCAGACUAACCAGGGGCCAAAGAGAAAGCCGGCAUCAGGCCAAGGACCAGGUGAGAUCCGUGCUACAGGGGUGGCCAGAUCGGACAUUGGAGCAAGGAAUGUCCAAACAAAAGCUCUCCACCGGGGCCAUGUCCUGUCUGUAAGGAAGAAGGACAUUGGAAGAGAGACUGUCCUCAUCUCCAGAGAGAGAGGAAGACAGGAACUCACUUCCCCGCCCGAGAGCAGGAACCUGAGGAUCUGGCAUGACGAGGCCCUGAGGCUGGUCCGGCUCCCUUUGACAUCAAGAUGACUGAGCCCCAGGUUACCCUGGAUGUGGAAGGAAACCAGCGAACAAACUAACAUGCCAUCUUACUCCUGUGAACCUUUAGAAGAUCUCAAACUCCUCUUCAAAAGACAAUGAAGUGUCUCCCUGCCUGAUGCUGAGACUCUUUCACUACCAUUAAUUCAAGCUGACAGAUGAUCCUUUCUACUUGAGAAGAUUCCCAUAUGUUAUCUACCUUGGAUUCAGCUGCCUCUGCCUUUGGUAACUCCUAUAUAUAAAUCCCCCAACUGACCAGUGUUGACUCAUAGUAGGGACAUCUCUAUGCCCCUCUUCAGCAGGAAGAAAUUACAGAAGAUAAAACCUUCCAACCUCAGCAACUUUAAAGAUUUAAGGGUCAAAAUUGUUCAGGGGGAAAAAUGAGAAGAACAAAGGCAAGAGAAAUGCAGUUAAAAUUAAGUGUCCUUACGAUUUCAGCCCACUGAUAAAUACCUGAAACCUGCAGAGCAUGACAUUCCUCAAGAAACUCAUGGCUGCCUUAAAUUCAUGUUUUGCUAGAGACUAACAACAACCUCGUCUUGACAAUAAUAGCCAGAUCUCCAGGAUCCUAUAACUCUUCUUUAACACAUGGAAAUCCCUUUAGAGACUUAUGUUAUCUCUAUGUACUUUUAAGUUUGGAGGGGGGCAUGUAACCAGUCACUCCUCAUAAUCAUAAGUGCAGUUCUUACUGCCCAUGGCAGUCCUGUGUCUGUGCUAUAAUAAAAGCACCUUUUUGCACCAUAAAA